rnacentral:rRNA from 1 species
GCUCACCAAGUCAAUGAUCUUUAGGGGGCCUGAGAGGGUGAUCCCCCACACUGGUACUGAGACACGGACCAGACUCCUACGGGAGGCAGCAGUGAGGAAUAUUGGACAAUGGGUGGAAGCCUGAUCCAGCCAUCCCGCGUGAAGGACGACGGCCCUAUGGGUUGUAAACUUCUUUUGUACAGGGAUAAACCUACUCUCGUGAGGGUAGCUGAAGGUACUGUACGAAUAAGCACCGGCUAACUCCGUGCCAGCAGCCGCGGUAAUACGGAGGGUGCGAGCGUUAUCCGGAUUUAUUGGGUUUAAAGGGUCCGCAGGCGGGCUAGUAAGUCAGUGGUGAAAGCCUACAGCUUAACUGUAGAACUGCCGUUGAUACUGCUAGUCUUGAGUAUAGUUGAGGUAGCUGGAAUGAGUAGUGUAGCGGUGAAAUGCAUAGAUAUUACUCAGAACACCGAUUGCGAAGGCAGGUUACCAAGUUAUAACUGACGCUGAGGGACGAAAGCGUGGGGAGCGAACAGGAUUAGAUACCCUGGUAGUCCACGCCGUAAACGAUGCUAACUCGUUUUUGGGCUUUAGGGUU